CUACGUAUGUCGCAAGCGUUAUCCGGAUUUAUUGGGCGUAAAGCGCGUCUAGGCGGCUUAGUAAGUCUGAUGUGAAAAUGCGGGGCUCAACCCCGUAUUGCGUUGGAAACUGCUAAACUAGAGUACUGGAGAGGUAGGCGGAACUACAAGUGUAGAGGUGAAAUUCGUAGAUAUUUGUAGGAAUGCCGAUGGGGAAGCCAGCCUACUAGACAGAUACUGACGCUAAAGCGCGAAAGCGUGGGUAGCAAACAGGAUUAGAUACCCUGGUAGUCCACGCCGUAAACGAUGAUUACUAGGUGUUGGGGGUCGAACCUCAGCGCCCAAGCUAACGCGAUAAGUAAUCCGCCUGGGGAGUACGUACGCAAGUAUGAAACUCAAAUGAAUUGACGGGG
rnacentral:rRNA from 1 species